rnacentral:ncRNA from 1 species
AUAUGAUGAUCAACUAGAAGGGACUACGUUCGAAUCUUGUACAAGGUUUCACAAGCUUACUGAAGUAAAAAGAAUAAUUAUCAUAGGAUAAGAUAGAUGCAUUCUGCCAUUUUCCUUGACAAGUAAGAUAGUUGAUUAUAUUGAGGGUUUGAGGGAGGACAUUGUAAGGUGGGUAGUUUAUCUGGAGCAGAUACCUCCUAAAGAGUAACGAACAUGUGUAACGGUAGAGGCUCAAGCUAUGAUUCCGCAUAAACAUAAUGGUAUAAGCUUGCCUGAUUGUGGGACCAUCUGAUAGAAUAGAGACAAAAUUUAAUAGUAGUGAUUUAGGAGUUCUGUGUAGAAGGACUCUCGCUCAAUAGAUCAAAAGUACAUAUGGGAUAAUAGGGUGAUGACUCCCGAAAGCUCUUAUCAUGGAGUUGAUUGGCACCUCAAUGUUGACUCAUUACAUCCUAAGGUUGAAGGACUCAAAGGGUUCGAUUGUUCGUCAAUUCAAGUGGUACAUGAGUUGGGUUUAGAACGUUAUAAGAUAGCUCGGUUCGUAUCUACCAUUGGUAUUACAGGGAGAGUUG